rnacentral:rRNA from 1 species
GAUGAACGCUGGCUACAGGCUUAACACAUGCAAGUCGAGGGGAAACGACGGGGAAGCUUGCUUCCCCGGGCGUCGACCGGCGCACGGGUGAGUAACGCGUAUCCAACCUGCCUCUGACUGAGGGAUAACCCGUCGAAAGUCGGCCUAAUACCUCAUGGCAUCGUCUGCGGGCAUCCAACGACGAUUAAAGAUUUCAUCGGUCAGAGAUGGGGAUGCGUCUGAUUAGCUUGUUGGCGGGGUAACGGCCCACCAAGGCGACGAUCAGUAGGGGUUCUGAGAGGAAGGUCCCCCACAUUGGAACUGAGACACGGUCCAAAAUCCUACGGGAGGCAGCAGUGAGGAAUAUUGGUCAAUGGGCGAGAGCCUGAACCAGCCAAGUAGCGUGCAGGAUGACGGCCCUAUGGGUUGUAAACUGCUUUUAUGCGGGGAUAAAGUGAGGGACGUGUCCUUCAUUGCAGGUACCGAAUGAAUAAGGACCGGCUAAUUCCGUG